rnacentral:lncRNA from 10 species
GAAACAGGACCCUAUCAAUGUGAAAUACGGGACCGAUAUGGUGGCAUCCGCAGUGACCCAGUCACCCUGAAUGUCCUCUGAGAAGUCCUCUACUUGUCCUGUUCUGCGGACUCUAACCCACCGGCACAGUAUUCUUGGACAAUUAAUGAAAAGUUUCAGCUACCAGGACAAAAGCUCUUUAUCCGCCAUAUUACUACAAAGCAUAGCGGGCUCUAUGUUUGCUCUGUUCGUAACUCAGCCACUGGCAAGGAAAGCUCCAAAUCCAUGACAGUCGAAGUCUCUGGUAAGUGGAUCCCAGCAUCGUUGGCAAUAGGGUUUUAGGUGGAGUCUAUCUGGCAUUCAGAGAAGAGUCAGGAAAACAAUUGUAUUCCCAGCCUGUGUCCCAUGGGCACAAGCAAAUCCCAAAUUCUCCUCCUGAACCCUCCAAAUUUGUCUAAGAACUUCGAAAACUUUAACAAACAGGCUGAUAUCUUCAUAAUAUUCCCAGCCUAGACCAAGCAGGAAGAACAUUGAUUUCAUUGAAAUAAUUGAUAAUAAUGAAGAUAAUGUUUUUAUGAUUUUUAUUUGAAAAUUUGCUGAUUCUUUAAAUGGUUUGUUUUCUACAUUGAUGGAAUUUUUCUCUUUUAAUCUAUCUACAGCUUAU